UCGGGAAUUUUGGGCAAUGGGGGAAACCCUGACGCAGCGACGCCGCGUGUGGGAUGAAGGUCUUCGGAUUGUAAACCACUGUCGCGAGGGACGAAGCUCUGACGGUACCUCGAAAGGAAGCACCGGCCAACUCUGUGCCAGCAGCCGCGGUAAUACAGAGGGUGCAAGCGUUGCUCGGAUUUACUGGGCGUAAAGCGUACGCAGACGGUGAGGAAGGUCGGAUGUGAAAGCCCUGGGCUCAACCCAGGAACUGCAUCCGAAACCGCCUCGCUAGAGUAUGAGAGAGGAAAGCGGAAUUCCUGGUGUAGAGGUGAAAUUCGUAGAUAUCAGGAGGAACACCUGCGGCGAAGGCGGCUUUCUGGCUCAUUACUGACGUUCAGGUACGAAAGCGUGGGUAGCAAACAGGAUUAGAUACCCCUGUAGUCCCUGAGCGGGCUGGCAAGGCGCAU
rnacentral:rRNA from 1 species